rnacentral:rRNA from 1 species
CCUACGGGGUGCAGCAGUGGGGAAUAUUGGACAAUGGGCGAAAGCCUGAUCCAGCCAUGCCGCGUGUGUGAAGAAGGCCUUCGGGUUGUAAAGCACUUUCAGUGGGGAAGAAAGCCUUGGGGCUAAUACCCUCGAGGAAGGACAUCACCCACAGAAGAAGCACCGGCUAACUCCGUGCCAGCAGCCGCGGUAAUACGGAGGGUGCGAGCGUUAAUCGGAAUUACUGGGCGUAAAGCGCGCGUAGGCGGUCUGAUAAGCCGGUUGUGAAAGCCCCGGGUUCAACCUGGGAACGGCAUCCGGAACUGUCAGGCUAGAGUGCAGGAGAGGAAGGUAGAAUUCCCGGUGUAGCGGUGAAAUGCGUAGAGAUCGGGAGGAAUACCAGUGGCGAAGGCGGCCUUCUGGACUGACACUGACGCUGAGGUGCGAAAGCGUGGGUAGCAAACAGGAUUAGAUACCCCAGUAGUC